UCGAGAAUCUUCGGCAAUGGACGAAAGUCUGACCGAGCGACGCCGCGUGCGGGACGAAGGCCUUCGGGUUGUAAACCGCUGUCGAGGGGGAUUAAGAACCCUGGAGGAAGGGGAGGCUAAGCUCGUGCCAGCAGCCGCGGUAAGACGAGCUCUCCAAACGUUAUUCGGUAUCACUGGGCUUAAAGAGUUCGUAGGCGGCUUACAGGUGGGGUGUGAAAGCCCUCGGCUUAACCGAGGAAUUGCGCCCCAAACCGUAAGGCUUGAGGGGUAUAGGGGUAAGCGGAACAGAUGGUGGAGCGGUGAAAUGCAUUGAUAUCAUCUGGAACACCGGUGGCGAAGGCGGCUUACUGGAUAUUUUCUGACGCUGAGGAACGAAAGCUAGGGUAGCGAACAGGAUUAGAUACCCUUGUAGU
rnacentral:rRNA from 1 species